rnacentral:rRNA from 1 species
CACCACCCGAUCCCAUCCCGAACUCGGAAGUGAAACGCAGCUGCGCCGAUGGUAGUGUGGCUCAAGCCAUGCGAGAGUAGGUCAUCGCCAGGG